rnacentral:rRNA from 1 species
UACGUAGGGUCCGAGCGUUGUCCGGAAUUACUGGGCGUAAAGAGCUCGUAGGUGGUUUGUCGCGUUGUUCGUGAAAACUCACAGCUCAACUGUGGGCGUGCGGGCGAUACGGGCAGACUAGAGUACUGCAGGGGAGACUGGAAUUCCUGGUGUAGCGGUGAAAUGCGCAGAUAUCAGGAGGAACACCGGUGGCGAAGGCGGAUCUCUGGGCCGUAACUGACGCUGAGGAGCGAAAGCAUGGGGAGCGAACGGG